GCUCCGGGAACUGGAAUUAAUACCGCAUACGCCCUACGGGGGAAAGAUUUAUCGGGGAAGGAUUGGCCCGCGUUGGAUUAGCUAGUUGGUGGGGUAAAGGCCUACCAAGGCGACGAUCCAUAGCUGGUCUGAGAGGAUGAUCAGCCACAUUGGGACUGAGACACGGCCCAAACUCCUACGGGAGGCAGCAGUGGGGAAUAUUGGACAAUGGGCGCAAGCCUGAUCCAGCCAUGCCGCGUGAGUGAUGAAGGCCUUAGGGUUGUAAAGCUCUUUCACCGGAGAAGAUAAUGACGGUAUCCGGAGAAGAAGCCCCGGCUAACUUCGUGCCAGCAGCCGCGGUAAUACGA
rnacentral:rRNA from 1 species